AUUUCAGAAACUUCAUCAAACGAUUAACUAGAAAAUCCUCAUCUCAUUGGAACACUAAAAUUGUUCAUCAUCCCAGACAAAGUGAUGGCCACAACUGCGGACCACUCAUCUUAAAGUUUGCAGAAGCGUAUUUGCAGCACAAAGACAUCAGUAUGGUAGAAACAACACAAGAGGCUAAUACUGCCUUUAGAAGACAUAUAGCAAUUCUUCUAAUGAAGGAGUCAGAAAACGUGGAAGACUACUGCAUAUACUGCAACCUCGUCAACUGUGAAAAGGAAAGUGAGGAUUGCACGAUGGUAAGAAACAUAGAAUUAUAUGAGAAAUAAAUGCCAUAAACUG